UCGUAGUUGGAUCUCAGUUUGCGCCCCGGUGGUCCGACGCGAGUCGGUUUUACUGCCUUGGGGGCGCGACCGUCCGCCGGCUUCCGCGGAUGAUCUUUACCGGUUGUCCGUGGUGGCCGGCAAGUUUACUUUGAAAAAAUUAGAGUGCUCAAAGCAGGCAUCUGAUGCCUGAAUAAUGUUGCAUGGAAUAAUGGAAUAGGACCUCGGUUCUAUUUUGUUGGUUUUUAGGAACACGAGGUAAUGAUUAAGAGGGACAGACGGGGGCAUUCGUAUUGCGACGCUAGAGG
rnacentral:rRNA from 1 species